CCUGACUGCUAUCGGAUUGAUACUAAGCCAUGCGAGUCAUUGUAGUAAUACAAGGCAGACGGCUCAGUAACGCGUAGUCAACCUACCCUAUGGACGGGGAUAACCUCGGGAAACUGAGAAUAAUACCCGAUAGAACAUUAUGCCUGGAAUGGUUUAUGUUUCAAAUAAUUUAUUGCCGUAGGAUGGGACUGCGGCCUAUCAGUUUGUUGGUGAGGUAAUGGCCCACCAAGACUAUUACAGGUACGGGCUCUGAGAGGAGUAGCCCGGAGAUGGGUACUGAGACACGGACCCAGGCCCUAUGGGGCGCAGCAGGCGAGAAAACUUUGCAAUGUGCGAAAGCACGACAAGGUUAAUCCGAGUGGUUUCUGCUAAAGGAACCUUUUGUCAGUCCUAGAAACACUGGUGAAUAAGGGGUGGGCAAGUUCUGGUGUCAGCCGCCGCGGUAAAACCAGCACCUCAAGUGGUCAGGAUGAUUAUUGGGCCUAAAGCAUCCGUAGCCUGCUUUGUUAGUUUUCGGUUAAAUCCAUACGCUCAACGUAUGGGCUGCCGGAAAUACUGCAAAGCUAGGGAGUGGGAGAGGUAGACGGUACUCGGUAGGAAGGGGUAAAAUCCUUUGAUCUAUUGAUGACCACCUGUGGCGAAGGCGGUCUACCAGAACACGUCCGACGGUGAGGGAUGAAAGCUGGGGGAGCAAACCGGAUUAGAUACCCGGGUAGUCCCAGCUGUAAACUAUGCAAACUCAGUGAUGCAUUGGCUUGAUGCCAAUGCAGUGCUGCAGGGAAGCCGUUAAGUUUGCCGCCUGGGAAGUACGUACGCAAGUAUGAAACUUAAAGGAAUUGGCGGGGGAGCACCACAAGGGGUGAAGCCUGCGGUUC
rnacentral:rRNA from 1 species